rnacentral:rRNA from 1 species
CAAGCGUUGUUCGGAAUUACUGGGCGUAAAGGGUUCGUAGGUGGCCGACUAAGUCAGACGUGAAAUCCCUCAGCUUAACUGGGGAACUGCGUCUGAUACUGGUUGGCUUGAGGACAGGAGAGGAACGCGGAAUUCCAGGUGUAGCGGUGAAAUGCGUAGAUAUCUGGAGGAACACCGGUGGCGAAGGCGGCGUUCUGGACUGUUUCUGACACUGAGGAACGAAAGCCAGGGGAGCAAACGGG